UUGAAAAGGGUUGUAGCUGGCCACAAACCAAACCAAAAACAAUAAAUAAACCAAGGGAUGUGCACACCCUGCUCAAUCCACUCUCAUACCCCUGUGCACUUAUUGUAGGCUCGGUGGCAUGGCGCUCACGCGUCAGUAAGCCUCGCCUAUGUUUAUAUCACAAACUCAGUCAAAGAAUGUAACCUCGCGUUUAACGCAAUAAAUACAACUUUCAGCAACGGAUCUCUUGGCUCUCGCAUCGAUGAAGAACGCAGCGAAAUGCGAUAAGUAAUGUGAAUUGCAGAAUUCAGUGAAUCAUCGAAUCUUUGAACGCACCUUGCGCUCCUUGGUAUUCCGAGGAGCAUGCCUGUUUGAGUGUCAUGGAAUUCUCAACCUCUAACGCUUUGUUGUGAAGGAGGCUUGGACUUGGAGGUUGUGUCGGCGCAAGUCGACUCCUCUCAAAUGUAUUAGCGUGAAUCUUACGGAUCGCCUUCAGUGUGAUAAUUAUCUGCGCUGUGGGUGUUGAAGUACAAUAGUGUUCGUGCUUACAACCGUCCGCAAGGACAAUCUAUUGACAAUCUGACCUCAAAUCAGGUAGGACUACCCGCUGAACUUAAGCAUAUCAAUAAGCGGAGGAAAAGAAACUAACAAGGAUUCCCCUAGUAACUGCGAGUGAAGCGGGAAAAGCUCAAAUUUAAAAUCUGGCAGUCUUUGAUUGUCCGAGUUGUAGUCUGGAGAAGCGUUUUCCGCGCUGGACCGUGUACAAGUCUCUUGGAACAGAGCGUCAUAGAGGGUGAGAAUCCCGUCUUUGACACGGACUACCAGUGCUUUGUGAUGCGCUCUCAAAGAGUCGAGUUG
rnacentral:rRNA from 1 species